AAAAAGUUUCAGUGCUUGCAAAUACUAACAUGUAAUAUUUUUGUUACAUUAGGAAAUAGACAGACUCGUAGCAGACCAGGGAGGCGCAGUUCAAGUAAUUUCAAAAUUAUCUGGAGCUGUGAAAAAAGGACCAACCACACUUAUUGGGAACAAAAAG